rnacentral:rRNA from 1 species
UACAGAGGGUGCGAGCGUUGUCCGGAAUCACUGGGCGUAAAGGGCGCGUAGGCGGCUUUUCAAGCGUGCGGUGAAAGCUCGGGGCUUAACUCCGAGUCUGCCGUGCGAACUGGGAGGCUUGAGUCUGGUAGAGGUCGAUGGAAUUCCGGGUGUAGCGGUGGAAUGCGUAGAGAUCCGGAAGAACACCGGUGGCGAAGGCGGUCGACUGGGCCAGAACUGACGCUGAGGCGCGACAGCGUGGGGAGCAAACAGG